UGUCUCCUUUAUGACUGUGACUCCAGAACUCUAGCCCCAGGAAACCUUUCUGACGUUAGGUUCUAGCCCAGGACAGCAGUGAACUUGCACAGGAUGCCCCAUUUUCCUCCGAUCGCCAUACCCUGUGUGUGGUGGGUAACGACUUUGGAGCUGAUAAUGACCUCCAAUCUAACUAACUAGGGUACUAGGAAAAACCUGCUAUCUUAGAGUUACUUUUCUUCUACCAUUUCUACCUUUCUCCAGGUGAGCCACCCAAGAAGAAAAGGAAAGAAUGCAUGAUGAAUUUCGACAAGUAAUAUCCAGGGAAUGGUUUGAGUUGGAAUGGAAUGGAAGAAUUGAAAAUGGGAAGCUCCAAUGGGCUGUGGCUGAAGCUUCAUCUUCUCCAUCUUCCUCUGGUCCUUCCUGUAGUGACAUCUCUUCCUUGACCACCAAGGGACUGGAUCUGAUUCCUGGGACAUCCACAGGAUAACCAUGUCCCAUAUCUUUUCUUGUGAGCAGCACUUUCCAAUUCUAAGCCAGCUGUGAUCUCCUUAUUGGAACAAGGAAAAGAGUCCUGGAUGAUUGACAGAAAGCUGACCAGAGGUGAGAUGAUAAGACAGGAACAGGGCCACAAAGAGACAUUCCCUCUAGAGAUUUUAUCAGGAAGCUCCCCUCAGAGGGCAAAACCUCCCCUCUGCUAUGUGAGCUCUCAUGCUUUUUUUCUCUUAUACUUUCUCCCCUAUCCAUGAGAGUAAAUACCUUUCUUUAUUUCCAAAACAGUUAUCUUUUUAUAUUUAAAUUUUUUUCUUCUUAAGAUAUGCUGUAUUUCAAAUUCUAUAAUAGAAGAAUCUUUUGGAAAAUACA